AAAGGAAUUGACGGGGGCCCGCACAAGCGGUGGAGCAUGUGGUUUAAUUCGACGCAACGCGAAGAACCUUACCUGACCUUGACAUCGCGGGAACCCCGCCGAAGGGCGGGGGUGCCUUCGGGAGCCCGCAGACAGGUGCUGCAUGGCUGUCGUCAGCUCGUGUCGUGAGAUGUUGGGUUAAGUCCCGCAACGAGCGCAACCCUUGUCCCCUGUUGCCAGCGGGUGAUGCCGGGAACUCAGGGGAGACUGCCAGUGACAAACUGGAGGAAGGCAGGGAUGACGUCAAGUCAUCAUGGCCCUUACGGUCAGGGCUACACACGUGCUACAAUGGGGCGUACAGAGGGAGGCAAGCCCGCGAGGGCGAGCGGAACCCUUAAAGCGCCCCCAAGUUCGGACUGGAGCCUGCAACCCGGCUCCACGAAGUCGGAAUCGCUAGUAAUCGCAGAUCAGAAUGCUGCGGUGAAUACGUUCCCGGGCCUUGUACACACCGCCCGU
rnacentral:rRNA from 1 species